rnacentral:snoRNA from 1 species
GAGCACUUGAUACUAACCAAGCCAUCCGUAUCCCAGGCCUUGUGCAGAGGCCUGAGGUACCUUGUGAUUGCUGGGUCUGAAAAGUGCAACAUUAAAACAAGCCAUGAAGUGUUUAAGCUCAGUGUAUAAAGAAGAACACUGGGUUAUAGCUCAGAGGCACAGAA